UUCCAGACUCCUACGGGAGGCAGCAGUGAGGAAUAUUGGUCAAUGGGCUUACGCCUGAACCAGCCAAGUCGCGUGAGGGAAGACUGCCCUAUGGGUUGUAAACCUCUUUUGUCAGGGAGCAAUUGGCGCUACGUGUAGCGUUAUCGAGAGUACCUGAAGAAAAAGCAUCGGCUAACUCCGUGCCAGCAGCCGCGGUAAUACGGAGGAUGCGAGCGUUAUCCGGAUUUAUUGGGUUUAAAGGGUGCGUAGGCGGCGAUGCAAGUCAGAAGUGAAAGCCCGCGGCUCAACUGCGGGACUGCUUUUGAAACUGUAUAGCUUGAGUGCAGGAGAGGUAAGCGGAAUUCCUAGUGUAGCGGUGAAAUGCGUAGAUAUUAGGAGGAACACCAGUGGCGAAGGCGGCUUACUGGACUGUAACUGACGUUGAGGCUCGAAAGCGUGGGGAGCAAACAGGAUUAGAUACCCCCGUA
rnacentral:rRNA from 1 species